AAGAUGGCCUCAGUGAAGUUUGAUAGCAACAUCGAAGAACCUCCAACUUUUGAUAAUAGUGUUUAUUUGGCGAUAAACUCUUGACUGUUUAUACGUUUUUAAGCAUACUAAGUACCUCACGCUCUUAUAUUAUAGUUAAAUGUUUUGUAUUUAGAGUAGAAUAACUUUACGUGGCAAUUAUUUAAUCUAUCAAGAUAAAAAAUAAAUUAUGUUUUGCACUG
rnacentral:misc_RNA from 1 species